CUAUGGGCAAACACUUGAGGAGGAGACCGAAGAACUCAAUUCUCACGUUAUUGUUAGAAGAAACUCCAAGAGAAGCCUAAAGAGGAGAGGAGGAGAAGGAGGUGGAGAUGAGCAGCUGUGUAUCCACCAACAGCCUGGAGGUGGGAGGUGAAGGAUUGACUCAGAAAAGCAGUCAAGAUUUAAUUAAAGACCCAGGCGUGGAGACGCUCAUGUGAGGGGAACAAAGAAGACUCACCUGUAACUUCCUGGAACCGUGUACUAAUCAACAGAGAAGAUCUCCUGGAGGAAGACCAUUUACUUAAGUCUCUUAAGUCAUGGAGCCAUCCACCCCUUUCUCCUUAAGGGCAUAUCUCUUACUUCCUUUUGGCCAAGGGAGAAGAGGAAAGAAAAAGAAAAAGAAGAGUGAACGAUAGCUUCAAGACUAAAAUGACCACGGAAAAAGAAGAUGCUGGCUAUGCAGCAUGGAAGAAAGUCAUUGGAUGAUGUGUUUCCUCCAUUCACCUAUCCCACUUUCUCUUUCCAUUUUCACCUCAAUUGGAAGAUUGGAGAGGCUGAGCAGUAAAUUCCGAGUCCCAGC